AACCAGCUGCAGUACUUUUUGUGUGGUGUGGAAGUGUUUGUUUUUUGCAAUAGAUUUUUGUUGCAGUUUAGGUUUGUAUUUUCUUUGUUUUGUAGUGCUUAUUAUGAAGGUUCGUAGGUUUAUGUCUGUAGGCCAGGCAGGUCAUUAAACUUAACAAAGAAUAAGUAAGUCGGGAGAGGGGAAUAGAAAUCUCCACAUACAUAUUCUUAAAAGCUGUAACACUCACCACAAAGAUCUGCUGAGUGAAGUCUGUGAGACGAACGCACCAAGUCUGGACGCUCUGUCAGGCUACAUUUUACGUUUUUGGGAGUGAGCAGGUGUUAUUCUGUUCCCCGGGUUGGUUUUGAAGUCAUGGCUCUCAAGUAAUUUUUGUGCUUCUCAAAAGUGCUGGAAUUGCAAAGAGUUCAAACAUUGAAUUAGUUGUGCAAUGGAAGGAGUAUUACCAGGACCCAGAUGCAGCCCAAGGAAAAAAGAAAACAAAAGGAGACACACACAGACACCAGAGCAUGAUGCAAGUGUGGCUUAAUCGGUGCUUGCACAUUGGGCUUGUUCUUUCCAAACCUGUUGCCCCGAUUCUGCAAGGCUAUCCUGCUGUAGAAGGAGGCCCUGGAGGACAAGACACCAUGUGGGGAAAACAGCCAUGGGGAGCAGAACCGAGGUAUCCCAGCUUAGCUCCCAACUGACAGCAGCCACAUGAGUGAGCAGAAAAACAACUUCCAAGGGUGAUUUAGCUACUGCUGCUGUGGAAUGUCAAAACUUUCAGCAAGGGAGCCCGAUGCAGAUCUGUUGAUAUGACACCAUUCCACAAGAAGACCAACUGAUGGCUUUGUGGCAAGUUGACUACACUGGGCUGUUUCUAUUCUGGGAAGACAGAGAUUUGUUCUAAGAGGAAUAGGCAUGUGUUGCAGGCAUAGGUUGACCUUUCCUGCCAUGGAGCCUCCUCUGGUACCACUAUUUGAAGGUUGAAGGAAUGUUGAUUCACCAGGAUUGAGUCAGACCAGCCAAGCCUAUGACCAUGAUGUCAACUGACUGUAUCACCUGUCACAUCAUCCAGAAGCUACAGACUUAUAAGGCAUUGGAAUAACUUGUAGAUGGCCCCGUUAAAGUACCAGCUUAGAGGCAACACUCCAUGAGAAUGAGACAUCAUCUCCAGGAUGGCACAUACACAUUGAAUCACACAGCAUUGAUAAGGAGAUGGCUCCCCAGUAGGAAGAAUAUAUUGGUCAUGAACCAAGGGAUGAAGCAGAAGUGUCUUGCUUCCUGUCCCUGCAGCCUCUCUUUCUGCAGUGCUAGAAAUCCUGGUCAAAAGGGGGCAUAAUUUUAUCAGGGGACACAGCAAAAGUCUCCACUACAUUGCAGCUAUGCCUGCUGCCUGGGGAUUUUGGGCUUCUUAUAAUUGGGACCAGCAAUAAAAGAGAAGAGUCACAGUCUUGGCAGGGCUAAUUGACCCUGAUCAGCAGGAGAAGAAAGGCUGUGGUUCCACUAUGAGGGUAGGGAAGACGUGUGGCACCACUGAUCCACUUUUGCAACCCAUGGUACUCCCGUGGCCAGUUGUGAUGACAGACAAGUGCAGGAACACUUUUGGGAAGGGCAUGGUGGCCAGAGUUCAGACCCCAUGGGAAUGAGGACCAGGGUCACACCACUGGAUAAGCCAGGAGGAAGAGAGGCCCACUGGAAGGCUGGAGGAGCUGCUCCCCAGAUGUAGAUGAAGUAGAUUUGAGCAGCACAGUGGUGGACCUAGUAGAGGCGGACAUCAAGAUCCUCUUCAAGGAAAGAUUAUCAAUAUAGUUUUCCCUGACCCAGGUGCCAUGUGUUUUCUGUCAUAUUCACGUAUGCUAAUACAUAAUUGUGCAAGUGGGGUAAUAUCUGGGACACUUCAUGGUUCAUAUCAAAACACAGAGUGAAGAGAACAUCCUCUGGGCCAUCUCAGAGUGUGAGUUUGGGGCGGGGGUGGCUCCUGGUUAACAUUUCUGUCCACUGCAGCAUUCCUUUUCCCUUUUGCUUUUAGAUUCUUCCCUUGACAUCACACCAGGAAAGUCUGACAACUUAACUUUAUUGGAUAUAGGCAACCGUUGAAUCCAAGUUUUGCCCACUGAAUCCAUCAAAUUGUUACAGCCAAUUCUAGAUGCCUGAGUGGACACAUGAAAUCCAGAUUCCCCAGUAAGCGCAUCCCCAUUAAUAAACUGACCAAAUGCAAUGUUAA
rnacentral:lncRNA from 1 species